CUACGGGCGGCUGCAGUGGGGAAUAUUGCACAAUGGGCGCAAGCCUGAUGCAGCCAUGCCGCGUGUAUGAAGAAGGCCUUCGGGUUGUAAAGUACUUUCAGCGGGGAGGACGGGAGUAAAGUUAAUACCUUUGCUCAUUGACGUUACCCGCAGGAGAAGCACCGGCUCAACUCCGUGCCAGCAGCCGCGGUAAUACGGAGGGUGCAAGCGUUAAUCGGAAUUACUGGGCGUAAAGCGCACGCAGGCGGUUUGUUAAGUCAGAUGUGAAAUCCCCGGGCUCAACCUGGGAACUGCAUCUGAUACUGGCAAGCUUGAGUCUCGUAGAGGGGGGUAGAAUUCCAGGUGUAGCGGUGAGAUGCGUAGAGAUCUGGAGGAAUACCGGUGGCGAAGGCGGCCCCCUGGACGAAGACUGACGCUCAGGUGCGAAAGCGUGGGGAGCAAACAGGAUUAGAUACCCGAGUAGUC
rnacentral:rRNA from 1 species